UCCCUGGUGGCUCAGACGGUAAAGCGUCUGCCUACAAUGCAGGAAACCCCGGUUCGAUCCCUGGGUCGGGAA
rnacentral:tRNA from 1 species